AUAUUUUCCUCUCUUUCCUUCUUCUCUCUCUCUCUCUGUUUACAUAGUUGUAGUUAUACUGUAUACAUUACUUUGUACUCUACUUUAUUUCACUUAACAUGACAACAUAAGCAUUUACCCACAUCAUUAAAACUCCCUGGUACCGAGAGCCCAGGUCUAUUUUUAUAGAGAAGCUUAAGUGAUUCUCAGUGGGCUCUGCUACCCAGCCUUAAUCACACAAAGACAAGUUAUCAGGUUCUCUCCAAAGUCCUGGCCUGCCGCUUGCCUACUGAGCAGGAAGCAGAACUAAGGCUGUCAUGGAGAGGAAGGACAGGCCAAAUACUGUUUGGCUGCCUGCUCCCUCCCACGAGCCAGCCUGCAGCCUGCUAAGUAAGGGGCCCUGCUGAUCCAGAAUUCUUUCUUGCAGAAACACAUACUGGCUUUGAACCAAGGAGGCAGGCUCACUGCUGCAGCAGCCCCAGGGGAAAAAUCCAGACACAGAAUAAAAAAGUAAACUAUGCCAGUGACUGUAUGGCAGUAUAGCAGGAUUGCUCAUCUUAAUUUCCAGAAAAGCGUCAUCCUAACUCACAGGCAAGACAAAGGCUGCCCAGCAGCCUUUACCCCUACUUUCCACACGGUGAGUGCACUGGAGGUUUCAAAAAGCCUGCGGACUAAGACCAGGAGAACAGCAGACACAGCCCACUGGGAAGCCCAUGAUGUUGACCCCAGAGUGGACUUGUGGACUCGUCAACUCGGGCCAGGCUCCUGAUGGGAGAACUCAGUGCCAAGGACCAAACCUAAAGCAAGAUAUAUAAAAUUUGAACGUUGUUUUUGUAUUACUUUUUUAAUCAAGGAAUCCCAUUCUCAUGGUGCAAAAUGAGGAAAGUACAGGUAAGUUAAAAAGAAGCAAAAACAUGGCAUCCACAGUCCCACUCCUAUGGGAAAUUACUGCUAAGAAGACACUGAAAUCAGUAUUCCCAGUCAUAUCUAUUUUGAAAAGGAACAUACACUGUUUCUUUUCUUUGAAAAUACCUUUUCUUAGAUCAUACAACAGAC
rnacentral:lncRNA from 1 species